rnacentral:misc_RNA from 1 species
CACAGAGCCUCCGAGCAUUAUCCGGAUUUACUGGGCGUAAAGCGUCCGUAGCCGGUCUAGAAAGUCUCAAGUUAAACCUCGAGGGCUCAACCCUUGGAAUGCUUGAGAAACUUCUAAACUAGAGGGCGUCAGGGGCCGAUGGAACUCUUGGUGGAGGGGUGAAAUCCGUUGAUAUCAAGAGGAACACCGAAAGCGAAGGCAUUCGGCUGGGGCGAUCCUGACGGUGAGGGACGAAAGCGUGGGGCGAGAAUGGG